GCGCUGGGCGACGCCCUCAGCUUCACUCAGCCAAUGGGAGAGCCCUGAGCCGGGUCGGGGCUGCCCGCGGCCAAUGGGAGAGCAGCAAGCGAUGAUGUCACCGCCAGGAAGCCCCGCCCCUUUUUCCCCGAAUAAAGGCACUGACCACACCCAAA